CUGAAAUUUGUGUAGUUGUGGUA
rnacentral:siRNA from 1 species